UUUUCCCCUUCUUCCUUUUUCCUUUCUCCUCUGUGCUCAGUCCGUCUCGUCCGUAAGACCAUCGGUGUUUCUUUCCGAAUAUUCCGCCCCAUGCGCGGUCGCUGACACGUGUUUUAAUUUCUUCCAGGGCUCUGCAUGUCUUGUAAGAAGCAAUCGAGUCUGCUGUCCUGGAAACUGGAGGAACUCGUUGGAGAAAAAGAAUUAUUUGAGCCGAUUGUGAGAAAUUGAACAGCGGCAGGAGGAAAAGGAGAGAAGAAAGGAGCCGACACAUCUAACCAGGCGGCUGGGGCACUGUGCAUACACAUGCAGGUGGCGGCUGGGUCCCUGUUGCGGCUCAUUACUGAGAAGCACAUCAGAGGCCACUGGGUGAGGGUCAGGGACAACCGGGCGCAGCACUGAGCUUUGAACAGGGCUGUUCUGCAGAACGACCAGCACCCUCCUGCCACCUAGGUGCUGUGGCUGUGGAACCAAUUCCCAUUUUCAGAAAUGCAGACCGCCUGGGGCACAAUCA